AACGAACGCUGGCGGCGUGGAUAAGACAUGCAAGUCGAGCGCUUGCUUCGGGGUAGCAAUAUUCCGGGGUGAGAGCGGCGCAAGGGUGCGUAACACGUGGGUAAUCUGCCGUGAAGUUUGGGAUAAUUCCGCGAAAGCGGGACUAAUACCGGAUGUGGCCGUUGGGAGGCAUCUCCUGGCGGUUGAAGUUGGGGACUGUAAGAGGCCUGACGCUUCAUGAUGAGCCCGCGGCCUAUCAGCUAGUUGGUGGGGUAACGGCUCACCAAGGCUAAGACGGGUAGCUGGUCUGAGAGGACGACCAGCCACACUGGAACUGAGACACGGUCCAGACACCUACGGGAGGCAG
rnacentral:rRNA from 1 species